CGUAUACGUUGCCCUCUUCUCUCUCUCUCUCUGUCUCCUUUUUUCCUCCUCGAAAAAGCUUCGUGUACUCUUUUGUCUUCCCCAAAAACACCAACGAACCACACACACACACGCACAGAUGUACACACGUACCGGAAUCAUGAUGAGAAAAAAAAGCCAAUCCAAAGCAAACCACAGUUCAUUAGAGAGACUUUAAAGAGUCAAGAGACUCCUCCUUCCAACUUCUAUCCAUCCAUCAAAGCUCUGUCUUUCUCUCUCUCACUUCCUUUCCAUUCCUUAUUUGGCCCUUUUUUGGUGCAAUUUCUUGGGUGCCCGUCGGCACUGUUUGAUUUGUUCUGAGAGAAGUCAGGCUCGGGCGGCGUGUUUUCGACACCUGUACGUCAUGCAUGAGAGAGGAGCAGGGAAUACAAGGGAGGCAGUAGUGAAAGAAGAGAGAGAGAGAGGGUUUGUUUGUUUAUUUUCUGUUUUUCUUUUUCUUGGGUUUGUGGCUUUUUUCUUGGUGUGGAAAAAACCCUAAAUCCUCAUUGAAAGUUUCCCAGUUUUUUUGCACCGAAAGAGAAUGGGAAUAUAGGAUCAUAGAUUUUGAGUGACUUUCAAUUGCUUUCCUUAAAUGGGUCUCACUGCGUUCUCAGAUCUGACUCAUAUCUUUUUUCCUUCUUUGAGUUUGUUCGCUGAAUCCUUUCGUUUCCACAUCUGGGAAUAAAGCCAUCUUUAUUCCUUUUUUCGCUUCUAAUUUCUGUUUGUUGUUUCCCUGGGACAUAGAAAUUGACAGAAGAGAGUGAGCACACAGAGGUAGAUGGUAUAAGUCUAUGCUAUUUCUUUUGCGUGCUCACUUCUCUUUCUGUCAGAUUCCGGUGCCGGAGGAGGCCUGCCAUUGUUCCAGAUCCUCUCUUUAUUUUUCUAUUAUUUUAUUAUUUUUAUUGUUCUCUUUUUAAUAUUUUCGAUCUCCUUGAUCUUUCUCGUGGCGUUGUGAGACUUGAUCAAAUAGAGGGUUGAAAGGGUGUGUGUCAAACAGUGCAUCUAGAGUAGUAGUCUAUUGUUUGAAAUUUUUGACGAAUAAUUAUAUGUUACAGUGGUGAUUGUGUAUUGAAAGCGUGACUUUUGAUGGCGUUUUCAUGAGAAGGUGUGCCUGAUUAAUUACUGUGCGGAUUAAGCGGCAAAUUAUCUUGUUUAUAUAUCAUGGGACCAUUCCCGUUAUGUAGGAGUAUAUAGUAUGGUCCUCACCAACCCUCCUUCCUUUCUCCUUUCACCUUCUUCUUUCUAUCGCCGUUCCCUUUUUUUUAUUCCUGCGCAUGCGUUUUUCACUCGAUAAUUGGUUCUGAUUGGAUUUUGUUUUCACCUGAAUCUACCCAGAUUCUGCUUCCUUGUUACCUCCCUUCAGAUAGAUGUUUUUUUUUUUUUUUUAAUGGGUUUGAAACCCUAUUCUGGCAAAAGGGUUUUCUAGGUCUAAGAAAACAACUAAUUUUCUGAGCAUCUUUCAUCUUUUGGUUAGGUUAUGGUGAUGAUCAGAAUUUAACAGCUAUGGCCUUUAUUUUGCCUGUGUAUUUAGAGUUUGUUUUGCAGGCAGGUAGGCACGAAUGCGUCAACUCAGAUAUCAAAAACUUGUCAACCAGGUUUUGGGCAUGCUUCCAUUAACUUUAUUUGUUGCACUUGUAGCUUCCACUUCUUCCAAUAAGUAUAUAACUACAUAUAAAUAUAUUAAAUAUAUAUUGGAAACCAAGUUUUUUUUUUUAAUAGGGAGAUGGUUGAUGAUGAGGUGAAGAGCAGACUGAAAUUACAGGCCAGACAGCUCGAGUUGUUUUUCAACAGAGCUUUAGUGUUCCUGCCAAAUGCUUUGGGUUGCCAAAAUGGAAUGUUCGAAUGAUCCUAUGUUUGUCAAGUGUUAAUUCUUUCUCUUAAUGUUAAAGUGAUCCUGAAAUCAUGGGCUGUCUGGUGCAUAAGAAAUUGAUUGAAAGAAGAAGCUUCCUUGUCAUUACUUGAAGUCAUGGAUCUUCAAUGUACAUGGGUGAUGGAUUAGCCCCAAGCCUAAGCUAUGGAGCUAGCUAGCUUUCCAUGCAUAGAGAAAGUUGAGAAAUCGGCUAGCCUUUGGAGCUUUCUUCUUUGAGGAAGUAAAAGGACCAGUGGGUCAUGAUAUGAUAAAAGAUGGUCAAGAUGUGUUGAUGGAGGUAUUACUCACCAACUGGGAUCGGGAAUCGUGGUGUUUGGUUAUGGAAGAUUUGCAGAUGAGCGAUGUAUGGUGAGUUGAUUGGGUUUCGAGGUUUAGCGGUCGUGGAUUGUGUCGUUUUUGCAGUGGUUAACAGGAUGUGGAACAUGAUGAUCAUCAGCUUUGUGCUUGGUGGCCUGCGUUGAAUAUACUCUGCCGAUUGCUUAUUGUGCAUGCACAGUCGAAGAGGAUCGAUCAAAAGUAGUGUUUCUGUUUCUUUUUUCUUUUUUAAGUGGAUAAGUUAGUUUUUAUUAAUUCUCAAAACAAGCAUUAGGGUUCCCUAAGCCCCAAAGCUCAACACAACCUACUCCCUUGUUCAAGGAGAUCAUAUUUGAGCUUGGGGUUUGCCUCAGUGUUCUAGCUUGUAAAUCUUUCUGUCUAUAAAAUUCUUAUUUACACAAAAAAGAAAAAAACAACAUGAGGGACUCUAGAUCCUACAAAUUAAAGGGUAUGGAAUGACCAAUUCAGGUGUUCACACCAUGAGAGAUCGAGAAUAGAUUUCUACUUUUGUGCA